GAUGAAGAACGCAGCGAAAUGCGAUAAGUAAUGUGAAUUGCAGAAUUCAGUGAAUCAUCGAAUCUUUGAACGCAUCUUGCGCUCCUUGGUAUUCUGAGGAGCAUGCCUGUUUGAGUGUCAUUAAAUUCUCAACUACACUGACUUAGAAUUGGUGUGGCUUGGAUUUGGGGGGAAAAUUGUUGUGGGCUUUUUGUAUAGUCUGCUCCCCUGAAAUUGAUUAGCGGUACCUUUGUGGAACUGUCUACAGGUGUGAUAAUUAUCUACAUCUUAGACAUCUGCUGGAAUGCUGCUUUCUAAACCUUACUUGUAUUGACAAUCUUGACCUCAAAUCAGGUAGGACUACCCGCUGAACUUAAGCAUAUCAAUAAGCGGAGGA
rnacentral:misc_RNA from 1 species